rnacentral:rRNA from 1 species
UACAGAGGUCCCAAGCGUUUGUUCGGAUUCAUUGGGCGUAAAGGGUGUGUAGGUGGCGCCGUAAGUCGGGUGUGAAAUUUCGGAGCUUAACUCCGAAACUGCAUUCGAUACUGCGGUGCUUUGAGGACUGGGAGAGGAGACUGGAAUUCAUGGUGUAGCAGUGAAAUGCGUAGAUAUCGUAAGGAAGGCCGGUGGCGAAAAGCGAGUCUCUGGACAGUUACUGACGCUGAUGCACGAAGGCCAGGGGAGCAAACGGG